AAGGUUUUGGAAGUUGGUAUGCCUGCCGUUUUUGCUCCUGUUUAGUGUUUAGGGUAUGCCUGCUACUGUUUUGUGUGUACCUAUUUGUUUUUAUUUUAUUCUAACCAAAGGGUUUUGAAGGACCGGUCUUUUACUAGGACUUUGGUUUUACUAUGUUACCCAGGUUUGUGCAUUCUUUGUCCGUACAUCUAUCAGGUGUGCUUUCUAUUUUCUGUCUAUUUGUGUGUUUUUUCCUAAUUUUAUGUGGUCUUCAUUAUCUGUGUUGUAGCCAUGCCUCAAAAGGAAAAUCUCAUAUCUGAGUUACAUACGAGAAAAGGAACAUGGAAGAUAGUGUCCAUAUCACUAAUCUU
rnacentral:lncRNA from 1 species